AUACGGAGGAUCCGAGCGUUAUCCGGAUUUAUUGGGUUUAAAGGGUGCGCAGGCGGCCAUUUAAGUCAGCGGUUAAAUCGUGGGGCUCAACCCCAUUCUGCCGUUGAUACUGGGUGGCUUGAUUGCGGUCGAGGUUGGCGGAAUUCGUUGUGUAGCGGUGAAAUGCAUAGAUAUGACGAAGAACACCGAUUGCGUAGGCAGCUGACCAGACCGCAAAUGACGCUCAUGCACGAAAGUGCGGGGAUCGAACAGGAUUAGAUGCCCUGGUAGUCCGCACAGUAAACGAUGAAUACUUGUUUUCGGCGAUAUAAUGUCGGAGGCAAAGCGAAAGCGAUAAGUAUUCCACCUGGGGAGUCCGCCGGCAACGGUGAAACUCAAAGGAAUUGACGGGG
rnacentral:rRNA from 1 species